rnacentral:rRNA from 1 species
UACGAAGGGGGCUAGCGUUGUUCGGAAUUACUGGGCGUAAAGCGCGCGCAGGCGGUUCGAUAAGUUGGGGGUGAAAUCCCCGGGCUCAACCCGGGAAUGGCCUUCAAGACUGUCGAUCUAGAGGACGAGAGAGGUGAGUGGAAUUCCCAGUGUAGAGGUGAAAUUCGUAGAUAUUGGGAAGAACACCGGUGGCGAAGGCGGCUCACUGGCUCGUUUCUGACGCUGAGGCGCGAAAAGCGUGGGGAGCAAACAGG